AACGAGUGGCGGACGGGUGAGUAACACGUGGGUAACCUGCCCUUAAGUGGGGGAUAACAUUUGGAAACAGAUGCUAAUACCGCAUAGAUCCAAGAACCGCAUGGUUCUUGGCUGAAAGAUGGCGUAAGCUAUCGCUUUUGGAUGGACCCGCGGCGUAUUAGCUAGUUGGUGAGGUAAUGGCUCACCAAGGCGAUGAUACGUAGCCGAACUGAGAGGUUGAUCGGCCACAUUGGGACUGAGACACGGCCCAAACUCCUACGGGAGGCAGCAGUAGGGAAUCUUCCACAAUGGACGCAAGUCUGAUGGAGCAACGCCGCGUGAGUGAAGAAGGCUUUCGGGUCGUAAAACUCUGUUGUUGGAGAAGAAUGGUCGGCAGAGUAACUGUUGCCGGCGUGACGGUAUCCAACCAGAAAGCCACGGCUAACUACGUGCCAGCAGCCGCGGUAAUACGUAGGUGGCAAGCGUUAUCCGGAUUUAUUGGGCGUAAA
rnacentral:rRNA from 1 species